rnacentral:lncRNA from 10 species
UCCGAUUGGCCAGCGUGGAAUUCUGACGCGGCUUCUGGGUCCGAGAACGUGGCCCGUUCCGGCGCAGUGAGGGAAGGCGCACGCCUGCGAACUAGCCGGGCCGAUACCGCGGGCGCCCCCUGGUCGCGUGGAGGGCGAUGAGCGAACGACCCGGGACUUGUCUGAAUGGGACCCCAGCAAGGCACACGUGGUCUUCAAUGCGAUGGGCGCUUCCAGGGGACCCGGCGUCCCUUGGGUCCAGGAAGUCUUAUACUGUCUCCUCUCACGGCCCCGACAGAAACGGUUUCUGAGGAGUAGAAGUGUCCUAAGUGGAUUGGAAAUUACAAAUGCCGGAAAGAACCUAGGGAUGGAAAGCAGCCCUCAACUUUGACCAACCGCCGUGGGUUAGGUUUACAGUGGGGAAAAAAAAUAGAAAUUGUGCCUGACUUCAAUGACCGCCACUAUUUGAAGCAAACUGCCCAUCCAAGCCUUAUCAUCCCCUUUAACACCCUAAUGUUUCUGUCCAUGUGGACUUCGACGUGGUCCUCUAGAAUGGUUUUGUACUUCCCCGCGACUCAGCCCACCAGCACCCAGUUGAAAUAAACAGCCAUGUUGCUCACAGAAAGCCUGUUUGGUGAUCUCUUCACACGGACACAUGAAACAUUUGGUGCCAAAGACCCGGGUCAGUGGGACUCCUUUUGGAGACCAGUCCCCUGUCCUCACCCUCACUCCGUGAAGAGAUCCACCUACGACCUCAGGUCCUCAGACCAACCAGCCCAAGGAACAUCUCACCGAUUUUAAAUCAGGACCCCACUAGAAAUUGGACUGUCCAACUGGCCCAAGGCUCUGAUCGACUCCUUCCCAGAUCUCCUCGGCUUAGCAGCUGAAGACUGACACUGCCUGAUCGCCUCGGAAGCCCCUUGGACCAUCACGGACGCUGAGCUUCGGGUAACUCUCACAGUGAAGGGAAACUGAAUUCCAAAAAGGAAACGAACUAACUCAAAUUUUCCCUGAUCUGGAAUUACAAGCAUCAGCUCAUUAUUCCUGCAAUAAAACCGAUUGGCCAGGAGCUAAACAGAAGACUUCUAAAAAAUGAAAACCCCUGGCCGGGCGCGGUGGCUCACGCCUGUAAUCCCAGCACUUUGGGACGCCGAGGCAGGCGGAUCACGAGGUCAGGAGAUCGAGACCAUCCCGGCUAACACUGUGAAACCCCGUCUCUACUAAAAAUGCGAAAAAUUAGCCGGGCGUGUUGGCGGGCGCCUGUAGUCCCAGCUACUCGGGAGGCUGAGGCAGGAG